rnacentral:snoRNA from 1 species
UGGAUCUAUGAUGACCGCUGAUGCCGUAUGAGGCGUGGAUCGUGACUACAGGUCUGGGAGUCUGAGGUCCAC